rnacentral:rRNA from 1 species
GAUGAACGCUGGCGGCGUGCCUAAUACAUGCAAGUCGAGCGAACAGACGAGGAGCUUGCUCCUCUGACGUUAGCGGCGGACGGGUGAGUAACACGUGGAUAACCUACCUAUAAGCCUGGGAUAACUUCGGGAAACCGGAGCUAAUACCGGAUAACAUGUUGAACCGCAUGGUUCAACAGUGAAAGACGGUCUUGCUGUCACUUAUAGAUGGAUCCGCGCCGCAUUAGCUAGUUGGUAAGGUAACGGCUUACCAAGGCAACGAUGCGUAGCCGACCUGAGAGGGUGAUCGGCCACACUGGAACUGAGACACGGUCCAGACUCCUACGGGAGGCAGCAGUAGGGAAUCUUCCGCAAUGGGCGAAAUCCUGACGGAGCAACGCCGCGUGAGUGAAGAAGGUCUUCGGAUCGUAAAACUCUGUUAUUAGGGAAGAACAAAUGUGUAAGUAACUAUGCACGUCUUGACGGUACCUAAUCAGAAAGCCACGGCUAACUACGUG